UCGCUGAUAGAUGGGCAUGCGUUCCAUUAGAUAGUUGGUGAGGUAACGGCUCACCAAGUCCACGAUGGAUAGGGGUUCUGAGAGGAAGGUCCCCCACACUGGUACUGAGACACGGACCAGACUCCUACGGGAGGCAGCAGUGAGGAAUAUUGGUCAAUGGGCGAGAGCCUGAACCAGCCAAGUCGCGUGAAGGAUGAAGGAUCUAUGGUUUGUAAACUUCUUUUAUAUGGGAAUAAAGUGAGGAACGUGUUCCUUUUUGUAUGUACCAUAUGAAUAAGCAUCGGCUAACUCCGUGCCAGCAGCCGCGGUAAUACGGAGGAUGCGAGCGUUAUCCGGAUUUAUUGGGUUUAAAGGGUGCGUAGGUGGUUAAUUAAGUCAGCGGUGAAAGUUUGUGGCUCAACCAUAAAAUUGCCGUUGAAACUGGUUGACUUGAGUAUAUUUGAGGUAGGCGGAAUGCGUGGUGUAGCGGUGAAAUGCAUAGAUAUCACGCAGAACUCCGAUUGCGAAGGCAGCUUACUAAACUAUAACUGACACUGAAGCACGAAAGCGUGGGGAUCAAACAGGAUUAGAUACCCUGGUAGUCCACGCAGUAAACGAUGAUUACUAGCUGUUUGCGAUACACAGUAA
rnacentral:rRNA from 1 species